GCGUGGGACAGGGGCGAAGGCACGCAUUUUUUUUUAGAGGGGGCUCUGAAAAAAGGGUUAUAUUUAAAAUGCAUACUUGUCGUUGCUUUACGUAUAAAAGUGAAGAACCAAAGAAAACGUAUCUGCCAAGGUGAGUCCCAGUCCCAGGCAGGUGGGGAAAGGGGAAAGGCCGGUGGUCUCCGCCUCCUCGUAUUCUAGGACUGAAGGUUGGGGCAGGAAAACAAUGGUUCGGGAGACAAAAUACGUUGUUUCUUGGGGAGGGGGGUUAGGAAGAGACGACACGCCCCCUGUUGCCCCCUCUCUCGCGCAGCUGGCGCUUAAUUCGUUUCGCGCACGCGCGUAUCCCCACGCCAACGCGGAUACGCGGUACAACAAAGGGGAGGCGGAGGAGAGGAGCCGUCGCGAGCCCCUCGUCCCGCCCCCAGCCCUGUCUUCCGAGGAAGCCGGAGGCGAGGAAUGCGCGCGCAGAGAAAUGCGGCGGAGACCUGCCAGGGUAUACUGUACAGAAUAUGGUCUUUUAAAAAAAUAAUAAUAAAGAAUGAAUUAAUGGCGCACAGCUGUGCGUUUCUACUCAGAAGUCCCCUUGAGUUCCGUGAGGCAGACUCCCAGGUAAGUGAGUAACAGGACUACAGCGUAAGGACAGGGAGAUUUUCAGAUUAUAAAAAGGAAAUAUGUCCCCCUGGCACAAGAGGGUGCAAGUCUCAAGUCAUAUUCAGCACGCCUCCUGUGCGUUAUAUUGAAAAUAUGUACAACCGUGCUGAGUGGGUUAUUAUUGUUAUCUCCAUAUUCCAUAUACUGAAAGAGCUGUGGCCAGGAGAGGGCAGGAUUCCUUCUUGAAAGAGGUGUAUCUGGCACCUUCAUUGUAUAGCUUUCCUUGGAGGCUGAAGAAGCGACUCUGAGAUAUAAAUUAUAAUUAGGAUGCACCCUGUCCUCCUGAAUGUAAAUUGCUGCACCGGCUUUUAAUAUUGUAUUUUUAUAUUUGUUGUAACCCAGCCUGAGACCUUAUGCUGAAGGGCAGGUAAGUCAAAUAAUGUAAUAUUAUUAUUAUUAUUAUUAUUAUUUUAUUGAAUUUAUAUACCACCCUAUACCUGGAGGUCUCAGGGCAGUUCACAAAACAAAAUUAAAAUAUAAAACCACCAAAUAUAUCAUCAAAAUAAAAACAACCCAAUAACCACCCCCCAAAAACCCUACAUUUUAAAAGGGCAUAGGAUGUCAAUCAAAUCAACCAAAGGCCUGGUUAAGAAGGAAUGUUUUUGCCUGGGGCCUAAAGGUGUAUAAUGAAGGGGCCAGGCGACCUUCCCUGGGGAAAGCAUUCCAGACAAGGAGCCACUGCAGAGAAGAGCCAUUCUCGUGUUGCCAUCCUCCGGACCUCUCGAGGAGGAGGCACACAAAGGAGGGCUUCAGAAAAUGAUCUCAGGGUCCAGGUAGGUUCAUAUGGAAAGAGGUAGUCCUUGAAGUAUUGCGGUCCUGAGACGUUUAAGGCUUUAUAGGUCAAAACCUGAACUUUGAAUUGAGCCCAGAAACUAAUUGGUAGCCAGUGCAGUCCGACUACGAUUGGUGUAAUAUGCUCAAACUGUCUUGCUCCAGUGAGCAACCUGACCGCUGAAUUCUGCACUAGCUGAAGUUUCCAAACCAUCUACAGAGGCAGCCUUGCGUAUAACGCAUUGCAGUAAUCUAACCUUGAGGUUACCAGAUCAUAGACAAUAGUAGUUAGGCUAUCCCUGUCCAGAUGAGGGCGUAGCUAGGCCACCAGCCGAAGCUGAUGGAAGGCACUCCAGGCCACCUGAGCCUCAAGCAACAGCAAAGGAUCCAGGAAUGCCCCCAAGCUGUGACUGCUUCUUCAAAGGAAAUGUAACCCCAUCAAGAGCAGGCAAUCUCCCACCCAUCUGAUCUAGGGAAUUACCCACUAACAGUGCCCCAGUCUUAUCUGGAUUGAGUUUCAGUUUGUUGGCUCUCAGCCAGUCUAUUACUGAGGUAAGACACUGGUCCAGCACUUCCACUGCCUCACCUGCAGAUGUAAAGGAGAAAUAGAGCUGAGUGUCAUCAGCAUACUGCUGACAACAUACUCCAAACCUCCGGAUAACUCCACCCAGUGGUUUCAUGUACGGUAGAUGUUAAACAACAUGGGGGAUAGGACUGAGCCCUGAGGAACUCCACAUUGAAGGUUCCAUGAUGGCUGAAAAGUAUUCCCCAAGCAACACCCUCUGGGAACAACCAUCCAAGUAGGACUGGAACCACCGCAAAGCGGUGCCACCUGCCCCUAGUUUAGAGAGUCGUUCCAGAAGGAUACCAUGGUUGAUGGUAUUGAAAGUCACUGAGAGGUCAAGAAGAAUUAACAGGGACAUGUUUCUCUUGUUUCUCUCUCUAAAGGGCAACCAAAGCAGUUUCUGUGCCAAAACCAAGCCUAAACCCCAAUUGAAAUGGAUCCAGAAAAUCAGUUUCUUCCAAAUAAUAUAUAUGCAGAGACUGGUUUGCUAAGACAACCCUGUGAAUUUAUAGCGAGGAAACAUUUGAACAUUUAUAAGUGUCUCCAUGCACAAAAGCACAUUUUAGCAUACCGCUGCAAUGCUAAAUAUGGAAUAGUCACCAUGUUCCAGUUGGUUGUCAGUCAUCUGCCCUCUUGGUAUGCAGUGUACCACCGAUAAUGUUAUUUCUGGUUUUUGAAGUUUUUCAUUUGUAUUUUACUGGUGUAAUGGAAUUUGAUCUUUAUUGCCAUGAUGUGCAGUUUACAAUGUGCUGGAUAAAAUGAAGAAACCAAUUAAAAUAUUAAUGUUUUUUUAAAGAAUGAUCAAAAUGGAUCAUACUUGGAACUACCCUUCUUCACCCGUUCAAAUGUAGCACAGAGCAGGUGCAUCUGUCUUAAUUUUGGGACUUAGGAGGGGGAAAGAGGGCCCUAGGAGAAAAGAAAAGGUAGGAUAACAAGCAAGCUUUGAAGCCACAAGUCUGUUUCUAAGAACAGGGUAAAUGCAUACCAUACAAGGCAAUUCUAAAGUACAGUACAUCUUUAGCCAUAUGGCCAUAAAUAUUAUUUCUGUUUACAGUAAAAACAACAUAGUUUAUUUCUUCUUCUUCCACCUCAAAUAUCACUAGCAGAAUGAUACAUAUAGUAGAUGCCCUUUUAUAUAAAACUAAACAAAUAAAAAUAAGAUAAAUAAUUUCUCAGUCAUAAGGGAGUUAAAAAAUGAAAAGUUAUGGGUAAUUUUCUCUUAUAACAAUGAAUCAAGUUUAUCUAAUAGGAUUUAAUGCUUGAGUUUUCUGCAUAUAUGCACUUUUUUUAAAAUCCAACCACUUUUUCUAAUUAUAUGAUUGCAUAAUAUUUCUCCUUCCUGGAGUGGUAAUGUGUGCUUCUACUACCAUGGUAACUACUUUGCUUCUGAUUCAGCCAUAUGGUGUUAUUCCCCCUUUCCACGCUGAUUAUCGUGUCUCACAUUCUAUUAUAGCGAGUAAAGGAGCACAGAAUACUGUUUUAGGAGGACACUCUCGGAAGUUGCUUCUUUCUAAAAUGGCAAAAAUUGUUUACAGCUUGCAACUGCCUACAGUUUUCUUUCAGCAAAGGUUUAGAAUGAAAUGCUAGUUAAAUUUUAUAUAUACCACCCAAAGUAUACAGUAGGGGGAGCAUCUGUUUGUAACCUUCUCUCAGGUGCAUAGCAUUUAUGUGUAUGUGGUAACUUUUAGGUGCUAAGAGCACUUUCAAACAAGCAGUUAUCCACCCACAUAUAUGAGACAUGUACAGUCCCAUAAGGACUGGACCACAUGUUUUAAUGUUCUACAAGUGCUUAAUUUUCCAGAGGUACUAUUAUUUUGAGAAGUACAGCUGUCACAGUGAUAGAGAUACUCCCAGUGGUUGUUCCUGCAAUAAAUUAGUAGUAAAGUGAAAAUGCAAAAACACCAAUGAGUGAAAGACAGAGGUGCUAUGUGUCUCAGGUUCUCACAUCCAGGAGACAGCCUGCCCUGAACAGGGGUUACACCACCCUGGAAGGAGCAGGUUCACAGUUUGGGGGUGCUCUUGGAUUCAACACUUCGCUGGAGGCUCGGGUGCCCUCGGUGGCUAGGAGUGCCUUUUUUCAACUCUAGCUGAUUCCCCAGCUACAACCUCUUUUGGACAGAACUAGCUUGGCCAUUGCACUCCGUGCUCCAGUAACUUCUAGAUUGGUUUAUUGCAAGGCUCUCUAUGUAGAGCUGCUCUUGAAGAUGACUUGGAAACUUCAGCUGGUCCCAAAUGCAGCAACUAAAUUACUGGCUAGGGUUCUGUUUAUAACCCCUGUUUUAAAACAGCUGCACUGGUUGCAAAUUUGUUUCCGAGCCCAAUUCAAGGUGCUCGCAUUAGUUGUUAAAGCCCUAGAUGACUCAGGCCCCCAAUAUUUGAAAGAGCAUAUCCUUUCCUACAGACUCUCUUGAGUGCUGAGGAGGCCCUCUUGGUAGUUCCUCCACCCUCAGAGCCUCGGGGGAGUACGGUAUGGCCUGGGCUUCAUCCUGUUUCACAACACCUAAACAUGAUAAACGAGACCACAGAUAGAUGGUGUCAAGGCAAGUACUUAUGAUCUCAACUGAUCCAUGAUUAGCUCAAUAGCUUACAACCAAUGUUACAUAGCUCGGCAUUCCUCCAAAGACUGCAACUUACUUAGCAGCACUGGGUAGUAUUCAGUUUUGUUCAGAAUAGACCCACUGAAAUUAAUGAACACGACUAAGGUCCAUUAAUUUUGAUAGGCCUAAACUGAAUAAAGCUUAGGUGAAUACCAUCCAUUAAACUUCCCCGAACAGUCAAGUAUCCUAGUGCUGCCAACGAAAUAACAAAAAAGGCAGGCAGGAGCUGUGCAAGCAAAUUCUUAAAGAAUCUUCCGGGGGUUUAAAAAGGUUGUAGCACGGCAUUUUAGAACUGAUGGCACUAAACACCUAAAAAUCAUUGCCACAACAUUCUCUCUUUCUCUAACAACCUACUUCACCUUUUUUCAACAUGGUCAUGAUAGCUACUUGCCUGAUAAACAUAGAAGUGACAUUCAUAGGCACUAAACCCAUGUUGUGUCAGCAGAAUGAAAAGAGGAAAUGGAGCAGCAAUUCCCUUACUGGAGAGAAUAGAGCAGAGCCCAGGGAGAAAAAGAAAGGUAUGAGGAAGCUGCAGAAUUGCAGCAGAGGAACAGAGAAGAGAAACGGCCCAAGACCAUUGCACUUCUCCUGUGGUGAUCUUUGUCAUAACCCAGCUUGCUGCAGCUGCAUUGCCACAAGUACAUCUUACAGCGUAAUUACUAUCACCAUAUCAAAGCAUUAUGAAUGCAAAGCUGCAGCGUUGCGGCAUUUGGACAGAGCCGAGAAACAGCCCCAAAAGUUGUGUCUCUCAUUACCCAAACACUGCUACAACUACUUUGCCACAAGUACAGCUUGCAGUGUUCUUAUCGCUGCCAUAUCAAAGUAUUAUCAGCAAAAACAUAAAUCUAAGCUCCUUACAAGGCUGCAGAUUCUGUCCUUGGUUAACAUUUCUAGCCAGUUGCAGCAUUCAGUUCCUUGAGCACCAACUGCAUUCACCUUGAAUAACUUCAGUGGCUUAUCUCAGGCACAGUUGCCAACCAGGUUAAUGUGAUAAAGGCUUUCUCCCCACACCCUUUAAGACCUACUGAAGUUUUUCCCUUGCCCAAGCUGAGGGAUCAAGUGAGCUCACCAAUCAGCAGCGUGUUGCGGAGGCUGUCAGCUCCUGUGGGAGAAUGUUAAAACUAUUGAAUCAUAAUAAGAAUUGACAUUGUAAAUGCAAUUAGUACUUGACAGGAAGAAUUGAAAGAGGGAAACAAGGGAAGUAUACAACCCUUAGGGCAAAACUAAAAUAGAAACAUCUUGCUUUCCCAGUUUUAAAAUAAGUUAAUUCUAUGGGCUGGCAAGACUCUGGCUGCUGUUAUUCAACCAGGAAGUUCAUAAUCAGCUCCCUAUGUCCAUGGAUAGAAGCUACAUCAUCUGGUGUUCAUAGUCCGAAAGAGCGGCAUGGGGAAAAUACUUCCCAACAUACCUCAUGGUUUCUUUGGAGGCAAAUGAGCUGCCUCUUGUUUAUAUAACAUCACAGGCUAAUUCGUGCUAGCCCAGUCACUGGCUUUUUGUUUACCAGGGUUGAUUCCUCACCUCCAACAGGCAUUCAUGGGAACUGGAAACAGAUCUAAUCUUUUCAGUGACCUCAGUGGCGUUGGAGAAUAAAACUCCAUUGGCAGUGGUUUCGGAGCAUACAGCUAAUACUUUUAGCACAGAUCUAACAUUUCCUCAUAGUGUUUUCUUUCCUUCAGUGUUUUUUAUACAAUUCCUUAGAAAUCCUCAGGAAAAACAAGCAUUUUACAGUACUGUGCCUUUAUUGCUAGUACAUGGCAACAGGACAAUAAAGAUAGAUGUAGCAAGAGGACAGAAGCACUUUGGAUACCCAAAUAGGGUUCUGCUGCCAAAAGAAUGACUUCACUUUUCUGCAGCCAUUGGCAAUUCACCAAAGAAAUCAUCCCAAAUUUAUCAUUUGUCCUUCAAGCCCAAACUUACAGAAUGCACAGAGAUUUUUCCAUUUAUAAAAGCAGAAAACAAAGUGUUGCUGUUGUUGUCUGUAAAAUCAGUCAACAGUUUUGCUGGAAUCCAGUGAAUUUGUGAACCCCCUAAUGAUUUCUAGGCUACAGCACAGCAAAGGACUUUUGGAAGUUCUCUGCCUUGUGAAACAGCCUCAGAGAUUCCUUGGUGGCUGAAAGUCAAAGUUUGUCAAGUGUGGAGUAACACGCAAAGGGCUUGUUCAUGCUAACUUGGCAACCAUGGAUCCUGCUUGCUCAGUCACAAAUUACUUGCAUUUAUUAAACGGUUUAGGACCACCAUGCAUGAAGAACCAUCUCCUUCCGUUUGAACAUGCUGGUCAAAAGAACAUAAAAAAGCCAGCUGGAUCAGGCCAGUGACCCAUCUAGUGCAGCACUGU
rnacentral:lncRNA from 1 species